rnacentral:tRNA from 1 species
AAGGAUUUAAGUUAAGCAAACUAUCAACCUUCAAAGUUGAAAAUAGAGAAAAACUUUCUAAGCCUUA